ensembl:snRNA U6 U6 spliceosomal RNA
AUGCUUCAGCAGCACAUAUACUAAAAUUUGAACAAAACAGGGAAAAUUAGCAUGGCCCUGCACAACGAUGACAUUCAAAUUCAUGAAGUGUUCCAUAUUUUU